UACAGAGGUCUCAAGCGUUGCUCGGAUUCAUUGGGCGUAAAGGGUGCGUAGGCGGCGCGGUAAGUCGGGUGUGAAAUCUCGGAGCUUAACUCCGAAAACUGCAUUCGAUACUGCCGUGCUUGAGGACUGGAGAGGAGACUGGAAUUUACGGUGUAGCGGUGAAAUGCGUAGAUAUCAGAAGGAACAUCAGUGGCGAAGGCGGCUUCCUGGACCAAUACUGACGAUCAGGUGCGAAAGCGUGGGGAGCAAACAGG
rnacentral:rRNA from 1 species